UUGUACAUUUUUUCAGAUAUUCCUUCCAAUUUCGUACUCAACCAUUUUCUUCAUCGGCUGACCACACAGUAUGUCUCCGAACUCAAUCCUGCUUCGGUCUCCUCCAUCCCUGCUUCAAAUCUCAGCUCAAAUCUCCUCCAUCCCUCUUAUCUCCUCUCUCUCUCUCUAAAAUGGCUGGGUACUUUAGGGUAGCCCGCUCAAAGCCCUUUUUUUUAGCAAAUGUAAAAGGAAAAUGGCUAAUUUUGUCUGAUUCCACUUCUGCUCCACCGCAAGAGCUGCUCCGAAAGUUCCACCUCUGUUGCUCGCCACUUUCAUUUAUUUUUCUCUCACUAUUCCCUGGCUUCUCACUCACUCUUCUCUUCGUCAACUAGCUUCUUCAACAAUCACUUAACUGGGUAUUACCCAAACCACUGCUUCUGCUUCUCCUAUUUCUUCUUUCUUGAAAAAAUUUCACUCAGAAACCCUUAAACCCCUAAAUUCUCUCUCCCUCCGCACAACCCACUUCGCCGUUUCUAUACCCUUCUUCGUCAUCGUCAUCGUCAUCGCUAUCAGAAAGUAGAAGUGGAAAUAGGGAAGAAAUUUACUUGUUUGAAAGAUCUUCGUUCUUUUGGCCACCAUCUCCAAUAGGAGAUGAAGUUUCAAUAAGAAUGGUUUAGUGCCCCCGAUCCGGUUUCUCAAGGGCAAAUUCCCUGGUCUUAUCAUUGUCGACGAAAGAUAUUGAGGUGAUUGUUGGAAGUGGAUGUCCUAAUCUGCUAAGGAAAGUUGUUAAUUCAACUAAAAGAUUGAGAGCCUAUGUCAGACUCGAUGUAGGGGAUGUUUGUAGUGCUAGCAAUCUACGAGGUUCCUGUAAUAGAGCUUAUACAAUAUUGAAGGAAUUUGAAGCAGAUGCCCGGUAGUGGAUAUUGUGCGUAUAUUGCUCUUUUAUGCUCUAGAUCCAAUUGUUAUCUCAGGGGUGAAAAACUUGUUGGUAGAGAGCUUGUUGAAUCAUCUGCAAGUUGUGCUCAGUGAAAUGCUGGUUGAUCCUUCACUUCCAAAGCCUGCUGCCAAAGUUCCGAAGCAGAAAGAAAAAUCGUAGAGUUUGACAGAUAAUGAUAUGUCGAAUAAUGUUGAAAUGAAGAGAGGAGAUUGGAUAUGUCAUAAAUGAGGCUUGAGGAUGCUGAGAGGAGCUUGGAUUAGAUCAAGCUGCAGCUAGCUUUGGUUCUUCAGGACCAUGCGCAUUCUCCCCUAAUUUGGAUGCUUGUUUUGUUGCUCUUCCUGCUAGCACUUCCUUCUUUUAUGAGCGCUGCUUAGCUUGAGCAAAUGAGAUCCCUUUGUGUUCGAUCGGACGCUGUCGAGUGUAGGCUUCCUGGGCCAUCCAAGCGUCUGGAUGGACCUCCAAGGGCUUGCAAGCAUGGAGUCCUUGACCCUGCGGCCAAUUUCCCACUUCACGAUUAUUUGUUCGGUGUUACCAAUUACUUUCAGGUGGCUCCAUUUCAGUUGUCGCCCAACUCUUAUCGCAUCAUUCUCGGGCUCUGUAUUGUAACGUAUUUCAGGUUGGGAGCCUCCUACACCCUGUGACAUUAAUUAUCUCUAUCACCUUCAGCUCAAUUUGUAGAAAGGGACUUACAAAUUCCAUCAUCUUAACAUCCAGAGCGGGGUGAUAGAUUUGGUGGUCAGUGGGAAGCCCAACGAGAGGCAUAAAAUCUACCCAUAGAUUCUUUACCAUAAUUGGUGACCUUACUUGUCUGACGGCGGGGCUGGGGUACGUGGAGCACUUGGAUUUUCUUCAGGCUAGAGUGGCGCCAAAGUAUAAGACCUCGCACUUUCUUCUUUCUGACCAUACCCUGCGACUUUGCAACUUUUUGGGCGCCCACCAGUUUUUGAAUGCAGCGAUGCCCUUCCCACCUAUAGAGCGCUUUGAUGAGCGCGACUUUCUGAUCAUCACAUUUACUGACACUUUUGUCGUGGGACGUGGAGUCCCGACAUUUCAUGAUGCAGCAUGAAGGCGACUGGCAGUGGUGGGCUUGUCGCAGGCAGCGACUAGCGACCAGAAACCCCCAAGGAGGGAGGUCCUUCAGCUCCUUGCCCGACCCACUCGUCGUCCCGAGAUUUCUGAUACACUUGGGCACCUCUAGAAGUUAGCGUUUUGGGACGUUCUAAGGUGCACGGGGGGUCUUCGCGAUCCUCGUUGGAGUGUUCUUUUCCCUCUCAGUGGGAUGAAAUUCUGGCUACAUCGUAAUAGAGCUUGAUUCGGUGCCUUUAUUCUCCACCAACAAGAGUGGCCAUGGGCUUAAUAUAGAGGACAAGGCGUUAGUGGGGUACCUUUCGAUGAGCUGGGCCGAUUUUAGUUCUCUUGAUCAUCAUCCGAGUGGAGGGGUGCCUUUUAGUGGGCCUCCUUUCACAUACUCAUCGAGUAUUUAGUGCGCACCUACUGUGAAAGAUAUUUAUUUGAGCUUAUUCAUAUGAUGUCAUGAUUUUGUUUC